rnacentral:rRNA from 1 species
GUGGGGAAUUUUGGACAAUGGGCGCAAGCCUGAUCCAGCAAUGCCGCGUGUGUGAAGAAGGCCUUCGGGUUGUAAAGCACUUUUGGCAGGAAAGAAAUAGCGCGUGCUAAUACCAUGCGCGAAUGACGGUACCUGCAGAAUAAGCACCGGCUAACUACGUGCCAGCAGCCGCGGUAAGACGUAGGGUGCAAGCGUUAAUCGGAAUUACUGGGCGUAAAGCGUGCGCAGGCGGUUUUGUAAGACAGGUGUGAAAUCCCCGGGCUCAACCUGGGAACUGCACUUGUGACUGCAAGGCUAGAGUGUGUCAGAGGGAGGUGGAAUUCCGCGUGUAGCAGUGAAAUGCGUAGAGAUGCGGAGGAACACCGAUGGCGAAGGCAGCCUCCUGGGAUAACACUGACGCUCAGGCACGAAAGCGUGGGGAGCAAACAGGAUUAGAAACCCCUGUAGUCC